UACGUAGGGUGCAAGCGUUGUCCGGAAUUAUUGGGCGUAAAGAGCUCGUAGGCGGUCUGUCGCGUCGGAUGUGAAAAUCCAGGGCUCAACCCUGGACCUGCAUUCGAUACGGGCAGACUAGAGUUCGGUAGGGGAGACUGCAAUUCCUGGUGUAGCGGUGAAAUGCGCAGAUAUCAGGAGGAACACCGGUGGCGAAGGCGGGUCUCUGGGCCGAUACUGACGCUGAGGAGCGAAAGCGUGGGGAGCGAACAGG
rnacentral:rRNA from 1 species